UGCAGCGACGCCGCGUGGGGGAUCAAAGGCCUCUCGGGUUGUAAACUCCUUUCGCUCGUGACGAAGCCUUUGGGUGACGGUAGCGGGAGAAGAAGCACCGGCUAACUACGUGCCAGCAGCCGCGGUAAUACGUAGGGUGCGAGCGUUGUCCGGAAUUAUUGGGCGUAAAGAGCUUGUAGGCGGUUUGUCGCGUCUGCUGUGAAAGCCCGGGGCUUAACUCCGGGUCUGCAGUGGGUACGGGCAGGCUAGAGUGUGGUAGGGGAGACUGGAAUUCCUGGUGUAGCGGUGAAAUGCGCAGAUAUCAGGAGGAACACCGAUGGCGAAGGCAGGUCUCUGGGCCAUUACUGACGCUGAGAAGCGAAAGCAUGGGGAGCAAACAGGAUUAGAUACCCUGGUAGUCCAUGCCGUAAACGUUGGGCGCUAGGUGUGGGCCUCAUUCCACGAGGUCUGUGCCGUAGCUAACGCAUUAAGCGCCCCGCCUGGGGAGUACGGCCGCAAGGCUAAAACUCAAAGGAAUUGACGGGGGCCCGCACAAGCGGCGGAGCAUGCGGAUUAAUUCGAUGCAACGCGAAGAACCUUACCAAGGCUUGACAUACACCAGAUCGCAGCAGAGAUGUUGUUUCCUUUU
rnacentral:rRNA from 1 species